rnacentral:pre_miRNA from 1 species
UGAUGGGGGUGUAGUGCAGCAGCUAUUUAUCAUGCUUCACUUACACUGCUCACUGGU